CUCCAAGUCAUGUUGUCGAUUGUGAGCCUUUGUAGAGACAACAGGGGAGAUGCGGCAGCAGUUAUUGAAGCUGCUGUUGGUGAUCGGCUGUCUGGAGGUUACGUGGGUAAACCCGCAAUACUGUCCAACUCCACCCCCCUGCCCUAGACCCACUCCAACACCAUGUUCCUUUCUUACUCCUUCCACAGUCACACGUACUGUAACUGUUACCACCUGCAUGAAAGUAACACCUACACCUACACGUAGACCACCAACACAUACCUGUCCCUGUCCUCCUCCACCACCUCCACCACCUCCACC